UGGGUGGUGGUGCAUGGCCGUUCUUAGUUGGUGGGUUGCCUUGUCAGGUUGAUUCCGGUAACGAACGAGACCUCAGCCUGCUAAAUAGUCACUGUCGCUCCGGCGGCUGGCCGACUUCUUAGAGGGACUAUUGGCGUUUAGCCAAUGGAAGUAUGAGGCAAUAACAGGUCUGUGAUGCCCUUAGAUGUUGUGGGCCGCACGCGCGCUACACUGACGCGUUCAACGAGCCUAUCCUUGACCGAGAGGUCCGGGUAAUCUUAGAAAACGCGUCGUGAUGGGGAUAGAUCAUUGCAAUUAUUGGUCUUCAACGAGGAAUGCCUAGUAAGCGCGAGUCAUCAGCUCGCGUUGAUUACGUCCCUGCCCUUUGUACACACCGCCCGUCGCUCCUACCGAUUGGGUGUGUCUGGUGAAGUGUUCGGAUUGGCGAGAGGCGGUGGCAACACUGUCUCCUGCCGAGAAGUUCAUAAACCCUCCCACCUAGAGAAGAGAGUCGACAUGCG
rnacentral:rRNA from 1 species